GGGCGUGGCCGCUAUUAUAAAAAAAGUGAGAACGCGAAGCGUUCGCACUUUGUCCUAAUAAUAUAUAUAUUAUUAGGACAAAGUGCGAACGCUUCGCGUUCUCACUUUUUUUAUAAUAGCGGCCACGCCC
rnacentral:pre_miRNA from 1 species